AUGCCGCCAGCCGCAACACAUUCUUCUAUACCAGACGCACCUGAAAACGGAGAAAAAACAAAGUUAAAUUUAACUACAAAUAUUGGAAAAACUAAAAGCCAACAAUACUCACCUAAAAACUCAACGCGGCCACCUGCAUCCCAUGGAGUCUAGCUGUUCCCGUCCUAACAGCUUUACUCUGUCGUCGGUGGAGGUCUCCAGUGAUGAUUCAGCAGCCAUGUUCCUGUAAAAUAAUAAUAAUUAAUUUAUAAUUUCCAAUAUUGGUUAAUCUUAUUGUCAAUUUUUAUACUUAUGUCACAUUUUUCUAA